UACAGAGGAGCCAAGCGUUGUCCGGAUUGACUGGGCGUAAAGCGCACGCAGGCGGACGCGCGCGUGGGGUGUGAAAUCUGGCCGCUUAACGGCCAGGCGCCAUCCCAUACGGCGGGUCUGGAGCCUUGCAGAGGUCGGUGGAAUUGCCGGUGUAGUGGUGAAAUUCGUAGAUAUCGGGAGGAACACCAGUGGCGAAGGCGGCGAUCUGGGAAGAUACUGACGCUGAGGUGCGAAAGCGUGGGGAGCAAACAGG
rnacentral:rRNA from 1 species